UGGAAGUUGGCUUAGAAGCAGCCAUCUUUUAAAGAAAGCGUAAUAGCUCACUGGUCUAGACAAGCCGUCUCGCGCCGAAAAUGUACUGGGGCUCAAGCCAUGUACCGAAGCUGCGGGUCCAUCCGCAAGGAUGGGCGGUAGCGGAGCGUUCCGUAGGCCUGCGAAGGGAUACCCGUGAGGGGUCCUGGAGGUAUCGGAAGUGCGAAUGCUGACAUGAGUAGCGACAAACAGAGUGAGAAACUCUGUCGCCGAAAGUCCAAGGGUUCCUGCGCAAGGUUAAUCCGCGCAGGGUGAGCCGGCCCCUAAGGCGAGGCCGAAAGGCGUAGUCGAUGGGAAUGGGGUUAAUAUUCCCCAGCCAGCGGAAAGUGACGGAUGUCGAAAGCUGUUCGGGCUUACUAGAUUGCCUGGGCGGCCUGGAUGUUCCAGGAAAUAACUUCCGCAUGUGACCGUACCCGAAACCGACACAGGUGGACUGGUAGAGCAUACCAAGGCGCUUGAGAGAACUAUGCUGAAGGAACUCGGCAAAUUGCCCUCGUAACUUCGGGAGAAGAGGGCCCAAUAUCGGCGCAAGCCGGUAUUGGGGGCACAGACCAGGGGGUGGCGACUGUUUACUAAAAACACAGGGCUCCGCGAACUCGGUGAGAGGACGUAUGGGGUCUGACGCCUGCCCGGUGCCGGAAGGUUAAGAGGAGAGGUGCAAGCCUUGAAUCGAAGCCCCGGUAAACGGCGGCCGUAACGAUAACGGUCCUAAGGUAGCGAAAUUCCUUGUCGGGUAAGUUCCGACCUGCACGAAUGGCGUAACGACUUCCCCGCUGUCUCCAGCAUAGGCUCAGCGAAAUUGAAUUCCCCGUGAAGAUGCGGGGUACCCGCGGUUAGACGGAAAGACCCCGUGCACCUUUACUACAGCUUUGCAGUGGCAUUAGGACUAAUAUGUGUAGGAUAGGCGGGAGGCGAUGAAACCUGGGCGCCAGUUCAGGUGGAGCCAACCUUGAAAUACCGCCCUUAUGGGUUCUGAUGUCUAACCGCGCUCCUUGAACGGGAGCCGGGACCCUGCAUGGCGGGUAGUUUGACUGGGGCGGUCGCCUCCCAAAGAGUAACGGAGGUGCGCGAUGGUGAGCUCAGGCUGGUCGGAAAUCAGCCUCUGAGUGCAAUGGCAUAAGCUCGCCCGACUGCGAGGCCGACGGGCCGAGCAGAGACGAAAGUCGGUCAUAGUGAUUCGGUGGUCCCGCGUGGAAGGGCCAUCGCUCAACGGAUAAAAGGUACGCCGGGGAUAACAGGCUGAUGACCCCCAAGAGUCCAUAUCGACGGGGUCGUUUGGCACCUCGAUGUCGGCUCAUCGCAUCCUGGGGCUGGAGCAGGUCCCAAGGGUAUGGCUGUUCGCCAUUUAAAGCGGUACGUGAGCUGGGUUUAGAACGUCGUGAGACAGUUCGGUCCCUAUCUGCCGUGGGUGUUCGAGACUUGCGAGGCUCUGUCCCUAGUACGAGAGGACCGGGAUGGACGUACCUCUGGUGUACCGGUUGUCGCGCCAGCGGCAGCGCCGGGUAGCUAUGUACGGACGGGAUAACCGCUGAAAGCAUCUAAGCGGGAAACCCCCCUCCAAACGAGGUCUCGCCUAAGAGCCGUGAUAGACCAUCACGUCGAUAGGCCGGGUGUGGAAGCGCGGUAACGCGUGAGUUAACCGGUACUAAUCGCUCG
rnacentral:rRNA from 1 species